rnacentral:rRNA from 2 species
GCACUGGCGGCGUGCCUAUACAUGCAGUCGAACGAACUCUGGUAUUGAUUGGUGCUUGCAUCAUGAUUUACAUUUGAGUGAGUGGCGAACUGGUGAGUAACACGUGGGAAACCUGCCCAGAAGAGGGGGAUAACACCUGGAAACAGAUGCUAAUACCGCAUAACAACUUGGACCGCAUGGUCCGAGUUUGAAAGAUGGCUUCGGCUAUCACUUCUGGAUGGUCCCGCGGCGUAUUAGCUAGAUGGUGAGGUAACGGCUCACCAUGGCAAUGAUACGUAGCCGACCUGAGAGGGUAAUCGGCCACAUUGGGACUGAGACACGGCCCAAACUCCUACGGGAGGCAGCAGUAGGGAAUCUUCCACAAUGGACGAAAGUCUGAUGGAGCAACGCCGCGUGAGUGAAGAAGGGUUUCGGCUCGUAAAACUCUGUUGUUAAAGAAGAACAUAUCUGAGAGUAACUGUUCAGGUAUUGACGGUAUUUAACCAGAAAGCCACGGCUAACUACGUGCCAGCAGCCGCGGUAAUACGUAGGUGGCAAGCGUUGUCCGGAUUUAUUGGGCGUAAAGCGAGCGCAGGCGGUUUUUUAAGUCUGAUGUGAAAGCCUUCGGCUCAACCGAAGAAGUGCAUCGGAAACUGGGAAACUUGAGUGCAGAAGAGGACAGUGGAACUCCAUGUGUAGCGGUGAAAUGCGUAGAUAUAUGGAAGAACACCAGUGGCGAAGGCGGCUGUCUGGUCUGUAACUGACGCUGAGGCUCGAAAGUAUGGGUAGCAAACAGGAUUAGAUACCCUGGUAGUCCAUACCGUAAACGAUGAAUGCUAAGUGUUGGAGGGUUUCCGCCCUUCAGUGCUGCAGCUAACGCAUUAAGCAUUCCGCCUGGGGAGUACGGCCGCAAGGCUGAAACUCAAAGGAAUUGACGGGGGCCCGCACAAGCGGUGGAGCAUGUGGUUUAAUUCGAAGCUACGCGAAGAACCUUACCAGGUCUUGACAUACUAUGCAAAUCUAAGAAGAUUAGACGUUCCCUUCGGGGAAUGGAUACAGGUGGGGCAAGGGUUGUCGUCAGCUCCUGCCCUGAAAAGUUUGGGGUUAAUUCCCCCAACGAGGGCAACCCUUAUUAUCAAUUGCCACCAUUAAAUUGGGCACCCUGGUGAGAAUGCCGUGAAAACCCAAGAAAAGGGGGGGGGGGGGGGGCCAAAACAAAAA